rnacentral:misc_RNA from 1 species
GCCCAUCCACGCUCGUGCGCCUAGCCCGUCCCUGGCGGCGGGCUCUGGCACGAUGCGGAUAUUGGCCCUCCGUGUCUAUAGACGCGGUGGGCCUAAGUACGUGGCCGUCGGGCUGGGCUCAUCCGCGGGAGCGGCGAGUGGUGGGCAUUUCUGCGCGCGCCGCCCCGUGCCCCCUGUCGGCCUUCCGACCCCCGAACGAGGAGCCGACCGACGCAGCAUCCUGCCGCGCGGCAUCUUCGGACC